rfam:Tumebacillus algifaecis strain THMBR28 chromosome, complete genome.
GACAGAGGUAGCCCCGCUAAAAUCGCAACGUCCUGUUGCAACGCAGGACGCAUACAUCCUGUAUG